AGUGGAAGAAGCCUAGCUCAGUGGUGGAACAUCUGCCCUGCAUGCAGAAGGACCCAGGUUCAGACCCCGGCACCU